UUAGGAAUCUUGCGCAAUGGACGAAAGUCUGACGCAGCGACGCCGCGUGCGGGAUGAAGGCCCUCGGGUUGUAAACCGCUUUCAGCAGGGACGAAAAUGACGGUACCUGCAGAAGAAGCCCCGGCCAACUACGUGCCAGCAGCCGCGGUAAUACGUAGGGGGCGAGCGUUGUCCGGAUUUAUUGGGCGUAAAGAGCUCGUAGGUGGUUUGGUAAGUCGGAUGUGAAAUCUCCAGGCUCAACCUGGAGGGGUCAUUCGAUACUGCCAUGACUAGAGUUCGGUAGGGGAGUGUGGAAUUCCUGGUGGAGCGGUGAAAUGCGCAGAUAUCAGGAGGAACACCCGUAGCGAAGGCGGCACUCUGGGCCGAUACUGACACUGAGGAGCGAAAGCGUGGGGAGCGAACAGG
rnacentral:rRNA from 1 species